UACGUAGGGGGCAAGCGUUAUCCGGAAUUACUGGGUGUAAAGGGAGCGUAGACGGUAAUGUAAGUCUGGAGUGAAAGGCGGGGGCCCAACCCCCGGACUGCUCUGGAAACUAUGUUACUAGAGUGCAGGAGAGGUAAGCGGAAUUCCUAGUGUAGCGGUGAGAUGCGUAGAUAUUAGGAGGAACACCAGUGGCGAAGGCGGCUUACUGGACUGUAACUGACGUUGAGGCUCGAAAGCGUGGGGAGCAAACAGG
rnacentral:rRNA from 1 species